UACGUAGGGGGCAAGCGUUGUCCGGAAUCAUUGGGCGUAAAGCGCGUGUAGGCGGCUGAGUAAGUCUGCUCUGAAAGCCCGGGGCUCAACCCCGGGAGGCGGGUGGAUACUGCUCAGCUCGAGUCCGGAAGAGGAGUGUGGAAUUCCUGGUGUAGCGGUGAAAUGCGCAGAUAUCAGGAGGAACACCUGUGGCGAAAGCGGCUCACUGGACCAUAACUGACGCUGAUGCACGAAAGCUAGGGGAGCAAACAGG
rnacentral:rRNA from 1 species